CUGGUGAUUGAGUUCAUUCACCAAUGGCCAAUAAUUUAGUCAGUUAUAUGAAUGUAAUGAAGCCUUCAUAAAAAUCGAAAAGGACAGGGUUUGGAGAGCUUCGGGAUUGGUAAAGAGCUCCCAGAUUGGAGAUUUGGGGAGAGUUACGCGCCUGGAGAGGGCACAGAAGCUCCAUGCCCUUUCCCCAUACCUUGCUCUAUGCAUCUCUUCGACCUGGCUGUUACUGAGUUGUAUCCUUUUAUAAUAAGCCGGUAAUCUAGAUGAUGCCAGAGAAAUGCUCUAAUGGGAUGGCAGUGCCCGGAAGAGUUCCAUAAUAAUCUGAAAAUGGUUUGUACAGGAUCUUGUUAUUGGGAGAAUGCAAGGAGGAGAUACUCACAAGCAGGGAGCCUCUUUUUCCCUAGGACUGACUCUGGAACCGUGUGAGGAGCUGUUUGUUGGAUUUUAUUGUCACUUGGACAGUGCCCUAUAACAAACCCUCAACUGACUGACAAAGAGCUGCUUGGUUUGUGGACAGCAGUUCCAAGGCAAAUGGACAACAUCCUAUUGGAAGGUACACUCUGACUGCUCUGUUGAGGCUAGUCCUUUUGGAGAAAAGGAAGAAAGAAGGAAAUCUAUUAGGAGACUUGCAGUAAUCCAGGAGCAUCAGCCCUGUGCUAACAUCUGACAAUCCUCCUCUUUCUUUGCUGAGGAAGACUGGCCCUGGGCUAACAUCCGUGCCCAACUUCCUGCACAUUAUAUGGGAGGCCGCCACAGCAUGGCUUGCCAAGCGGUGUGUCAGUGCAUGCCCGGGAUCUGAACCAGCGACCCCGGGUUGCCACAGUGGAGUGCGUGCACUUGACUGCUUGCGCCACCAGGCUGGCACAAGACUUUUGAUUUCAUUAAAAAAUAAAGUUUAAAUGUGUCUAUUUUCAUAAAAUCAUGAAAUAUUGAGAUUGGAUUAUGUCUGGGACAGUAUCUUGUCCAUUAUCAUCAUUUUAUAGGUGAGCUAUCAGAAGCAAAAAAAAAUUGCCAAGACUGUUCUAUUGGUAGCAGAUCUGAGACCAGAUGUAAGGAUUUUUUUUCCUCUCUGCUGAAUUAGUUCAGAACAUUUUACGCAUGUAUACAAUAAGACUGAAACCAUAGAAAAUAAAAUGCAUACGUAUGCAAGAUCAUUUACACAAAACCAAAAAGUCAGUUGCUUUACGUCUUUGGGAUAAUAGAUAAUUUUUCUGGGAAAAAUAUCCUUGUCAUUUAUUAUAUUAUAUUAUCCAAAAGAGUGUAGAGUAUAUGUUGGAAAUUUUAAUGUCUUUAUCUAGCAAACAUUAUUUCUUGUUAUUUUAGUAUAUAUAAAAAGAUAUAUAUUUAAUAAUAUACCUAUAUAUGUGAUUUCAUGAAAUAUAUUUGACAUUUAAAAAUGAGCUCUAGGAGAGAAGUCAAGAUGGCGGCAUAGGCAGACUCUGAACUCACCCCUUCCCAGGGACACAGCCAAUUUACAACUGCUCGUGGAAAAAUUACCCCUGAGACAGAACUGAAAACUAGAUAAGAGGAACUCCUGCAAUGAACGACAAUCCUAACUGAGGUGGAAGAGGCAGAAACUCCCUUCUGGAGAGGAAAAACUCCACCUCCACAAGCUGCCAGCUUCAUGGCUGCCUAGGAGCAGCCCAAAGGUACACAGCCUUCCCGGGAGGAGUGGGGCCCUGAUCCGGGGAGUGCCCCACAACAGGCAUUGAGUGGGCCCAGCACAAUUGAGACAAGUGGCAUAAUAUCUUACUUUCUCUGCUACUAAAACAUUGGGGAGUACCCCCAGAAAAGCUGGUUAACAAAGAAAUUAAAACCGGCUCUUAAAGGGCCCAUGUGCAAACUCACCCCUUUUGGAAAGCAACCUAAAAUCACCAGAACGGAAGGUACACAGUGCUUUGGUGAAAAGAGAUCACCUGAUAGGCUCUGAGUGAAUCACAGUGAGAGGUGAGACCUCUCAAGGGACUGGGACAUUGGCGGCAGACAUUGUUGCGGCCUGGUGUGGGCGUGCUGACACAGAUGCCAUUGGAGUUCUCCCUGGGUCCUGCUAGCCGAGGUGUGCCCCACACACUAGAGCACGGAUUUAAUCCAGCAGAGCCAGGGCAGGCAGCCCACCCUAGAGGCUGGCCCCACCCAACAACAAGCCCUCAGGCAACUUGUGGGCCUGCAUAGAUUGGUGACUGGAUUCUCUGCAGCCUGGUUACUGAGCCCACUUCAGUGGGGCAGUGAGUGCACAAGGAGCAGGCAGAGAGUGUAGGGCGGUGGUGGAGUGUGUGGGGCUCCUGCCGUGGAGAGACUGGGUCCACUUCAGGAGGUUGGGGCAUGCACACGGGGCAGGACUGUGUGUGGACCUGUGGGCUGCAGGUCUUAAUCAGCUGCAGAAGACUGGUGCUUCUCAAAGAGCGACAACCUUCCAAAGCCUGAGACAAUGGGGUACUCCCGUGCCUGAUGCCAGCCCCACCCAGCUGCAAUCCUCAGAGAGGUGACAAGAGACCUAAAGGCUGGAGGCUUAUAGCAAUUGUAAGCCCCUGAGCCUAACAACCUGAAACACUGGGGGCAUACUCACUUAAAAGAAAUACUGCAACACAAGUGUGGUGUUAGAACUUGCAGCCAACGGUGCUGGGGCUCCCCACACCGGAUAAAGAGACUGAAGGGCCCCCAACAACUACAAGCAGCUGAGCAUUACAACAGCUGGCCAGGGGCAUAACUCAGCCUCCCUGGGCACCUACAGGGAGAGCAAACACACCACAACAGAAGGACACACUUAGCCCUCAUAGGGGUCACUCCUGGAACAUAGAGAACUGAGGGAAGCACAGUUCAGGCCUCCUAAGACAUCACUUAUAUAAUGUCACCUAUCCAAGAGCAGGAGACAUAGUUGACCUACCUAACACAUAGACACAAGCAGAGGGAAAGAGGCAAAAUGAGGAGGCAAAGGAAUGCAUUCCAAGUAAGGGAAGAGGACAAAACCCCAGAAAAGGACCUAAGUGAAACAGAAAUGAGCAACCUACCCGACAGAGAGUUAAAACAAAGAACAUUAAGGAUGCUCACUAAUCUGGGGAGAAGAAUAGAUGAACUCAGUGAGAAUGUCAACAAAGAAAUGGAAGAUAUAUAAAACAAUGAAUCAGAAAUGAAGAAUAAAAUACUGGAAAUGAAAAAUUCACUAGGGGGACUCAAAAGCAGAGUAGAGGAUACAGAAGAACGGAUCUGUGAGCUGGAUGAAUGAGUAGAAAAAAUCACCCAAGCUGAACAGGUAAAAGAAAAAAGAGUUAAAAAGAGUGAGGACAGUCUAAAGGACAUCUGGGACAACAUCAAGCACACUAACAUCCGUGUUAUAGGUGUCCCAGAAGGAGAAGAGUGAGACAAAGGGACAGAGAAUCUAUUUGAAGAAAUAAUCGCUGAAAACUUCCCUUACCUAAGGAAGGAAACAGACAUCCAUGUAAGGGAAGCACAGAGAGCCCCAAACAAGAUAAACCCAAAGAGGCCCACACCAAGACACAUCAUAAUCAAAA